GUCAGAAGUCGAAGAUGGGGGACUCCAAGAGACAGAUCGUAAAGUAGGAAAGAAUGAAAAUGAAUUUGAAGAAGCUGAAGUGGAAAAUGGCAGUGCAAAAGAUGCCAGUCAGGAUGCAGCUUGUAAUAGCAAUGAAAUGGGAAAUAUAAUGAAAUGAAUUAGAAUGGCUUAAUCAAGAGGUGGCACAAUCAUAAUGUUUAGUACUCAUUAUCUAGAUAUGCUUAGACCUGAAACAUGACGUUUUAUAUUGUUAUUAAUAAUCAAAAAUUUUAAUAAUCAAAUUCAAAUAAAUAAUAUUUGAUUUUUGUUAUUUAUAAAUAGUUUCAUUAAAAUUCUGAUAUUUUGUGUUUAAAAUUUAUAUGGUUACCUUUAAAAAACAUAUAAAAUCUUAACUUUUUUGUAAUUAAGUCUAAUGUUUUAUGUCAGUAGAAAUUAUUUGAGUUCAAUUGAGUAAGUUUAAGUAAAAUUUAAAUGUUUUGGAAAAUAUCAAUUUGAUAUAAAAGUUAUUUAAGUAUCUGAAAAUUGUUUUUCUUCUAAAAUCACACCUCUUUACAUGCAUGUUGAAUUUUUAGUUAUUGAAAUUUUACCCUCGUUAAAAAAAUGAUUAUUGACAUAUUGUGAAAAAUUGUUUUAAAAAACUAUGCUGACAUAAAUUGUUUUCUUGAUGUAUGACAUCCUUUUUGGAAAAUGUUUGCACCAAGAGUGAUUGAUGUAAUAAGAAAACAAAUUAUUUCUGUGAUGUUAAUAAAUAAUUUUUUACUUUG